rnacentral:rRNA from 1 species
UACGAAGGGGGCUAGCGUUGUUCGGAGUUACUGGGCGUAAAGGGCGCGUAGGCGGCUGUCCAAGUCAGGUGUGAAAGCCCGGGGCUCAACCCCCGGAAAUGCACUUGAGACUGGGCGGCUUGAGGACGGGAGAGGAUAGUGGAAUUCCCAGUGUAGAGGUGAAAUUCGUAGAUAUUGGGAAGAACACCGGUGGCGAAGGCGGCUAUCUGGACCGUUUCUGACGCUGAGGCGCGAAAGCGUGGGGAGCAAACAGG